rnacentral:rRNA from 1 species
GACGAACGCUGGCGGCGUGCUUAACACAUGCAAGUCGAACGGAAAGGCCCUGCUUUUGUGGGGUGCUCGAGUGGCGAACGGGUGAGUAACACGUGAGUAACCUGCCCUUGACUUUGGGAUAACUUCAGGAAACUGGGGCUAAUACCGGAUAGGAGCUCCUGCUGCAUGGUGGGGGUUGGAAAGUUUCGGCGGUUGGGGAUGGACUGGCGGCUUAUCAGCUUGUUGGUGGGGGAGUGGCUUACCAAGGCUUUGACGGGUAGCCGGCCUGAGAGGGUGACCGGCCACAUUGGGACUGAGAUACGGCCCAGACUCCUACGGGAGGCAGCAGUGGGGAAUAUUGCACAAUGGGCGGAAGCCUGAUGCAGCAACGCCGCGUGCGGGAUGACGGCCUUCGGGUUGUAAACCGCUUUCGCCUGUGACGAAGCGUGAGUGACGGUAAUGGGUAAAGAAGCACCGGCUAACUACGUG